rnacentral:rRNA from 1 species
AUUGAACGCUGGCGGCAGGCCUAACACAUGCAAGUCGAACGAGUGGCGGACGGGAGAGUAAUGUCUGGGAAACUGCCUGAUGGAGGGGGAUAACUACUGGAAACGGUAGCUAAUACCGCAUACCAUCGGAUGUGCCCAGAUGGGAUUAGCUAGUAGGUGGGGUAAAGGCGCACAUAGGCGACGAUCCCUAGCUGGUCUGAGAGGAUGACCAGCCACACUGGAACGAGGACACGCUCCAGACUCCUACGGGAGGAAGCAGUGGGUAAUAUUGGACAAUGGGCGAAAGCCGGACGCAGCCAGGCCGGGGGUAUGAAGAAGGUCUUCGGGUUGUAAAGUACUUUCAGCGGGGAGGCGUUACCCGCAGAAGAAGCACCGGCUAACUCCGUGCCAGCAGCCGCGGUAAUUC